CAAGGUUCACAACAGGUGAAACUAGAUGAGUAGUUGCUAGAUUUGGACAGCCCGGAUAACAAAUGCAAAGAGAGAUCAAAAAAGCCAAAAGCAGCUGAAGCUAUGGAAACUUUGUAACUUUUCAGUGGUAGUACAGACAAGAUGGUUAGAAUGUUGUCUGUGUUGACAAGUGAGGAAAAGGAAAAUUUGAUUCAUUGCUUGAGAAUGAAUGUUGAUAUAUUUGUUUGGUCUGCUACAAAUAUACUAGGGUAAACCCUCAGGUAAUUGUGCACAGGUUGAAUGUUUUGUCCGAAG
rnacentral:lncRNA from 1 species